rfam:Nomascus leucogenys chromosome 23, whole genome shotgun sequence.
UAGUGUUACAGCUCUUUUAGAAUUUGUCUAGUAGGCUUUCUGGUAUUUCUUACUGGAAAGCCCUU